UCAUGGCGACGGCAACACGACGGUGACGAAAAAUCGAGACGUGUCUCAAACAGAGGCUUGGCGGAGGCUAGAUCAGCCCCUCAAGCUUCUCGGCCAAGGAGAGUUUGGCGCGGCUUGGCUGGUUUCGGUAGAGGCGGCUAGUCGCAAGGGUUGUUGGGGCGGAUGGUCAGGCCGGGACGGUUGAUUGGUGAGCUGCUGAAGGCGUGAGGGUGAGCUUGCGGUGGAAUUCUAGUGGGCGCUGGACGUUGCUGUGGAGUUGGGACUCUGGCAGUGGGAUUCUGGUGGUGAUGCAACAGCUGCCAAAAAAAAGAAGUUGGAGGUGGAGGGGGCUAUUCUAGCGGUGGUGAUGGCAUGAGAUGGAUGGAGAUGGCGGCCGUGGGUGAGUGUGGGUGGUGAGGAUGAAAUUAUGAUGGGAUGAGGCGGUGAAUGAAGAUAGCAUUGGCAGAAGGAAGGGGAAUGAGAAAGUGAGGGAUGGAGGGAAGAAGAG
rnacentral:lncRNA from 1 species